UUCUGCAACUAUACCAGAAACAAUAUCCAAAACUUGGUGGAUUGAAUGGUCAAAAUGCACAGCAGUGAUUAGAAGUCCAAUUUCAAGGUUUGAGCAACUUUACUUUAACUAAUAUGACUUAUACAAGCUGCCAAAAGAGUUGGAAUUAACGUAAAUCAAAAUCUGGUUGGUCAAGUUGCCUUUUUCACACAAGAUUUGUCUAAUUUCAGCAACCAAAUCUCACANAAUCAGUAACUAUGUUUGGAUCCUCAAUUUGGUUCUUUAAACAAGUUUGUUUGACCAAAAAUNACAUGUAUAGAUUGGCAGCAGAGGCUGAAACUGUGUAAAUCAAAUUUUCACCAUACAAGUUGCUCUCAACAUCAAAAUUUCAACUAUUC
rnacentral:lncRNA from 1 species